CAGUCGCGCGGUAAUACGUAGGGUGCAAGCGUUAAUCGGAAUUACUGGGCGUAAAGCGUGCGCAGGCGGUUAUAUAAGACAGAUGUGAAAUCCCCGGGCUCAACCUGGGAACUGCAUUUGUGACUGUAUAGCUAGAGUACGGCAGAGGGGGAUGGAAUUCCGCGUGUAGCAGUGAAAUGCGUAGAUAUGCGGAGGAACACCGAUGGCGAAGGCAAUCCCCUGGGCCUGUACUGACGCUCAUGCACGAAAGCGUGGGGAGCAAACAGGAUUAGAGACCCCCGUAGUCCCUGUCUCUUAUACC
rnacentral:rRNA from 1 species